CGCUAAAGCUCGAAGGUGCGGGUAUCGAACAGAAUUAGAUACCUUGGUAGUCCGCACGGUAAACGAUGGAUGCCCGCUGUUUGCGAUAUAUUGUAAGCGGCCAAGAGAAAUCGUUAAGCAUCCCACCUGGGGAGUACGCCGGCAACGGUGAAACUCAAAGGAAUUGACGUGGGUCCGCACAAGCGGAGGAACAUGUGGCUUAAUUCGAUGAUACGCGAGGAACCUUACCCGGGCUUGAACUGCAGCGGAAGGAUACAGUGAUGUUGACGUCCUUCGGGACCGCUGUGGAGGUGCUGCAUGGUUGUCGUCAGCUCGUGCCGUGAGGUGUCGGCUUAAGUGCCAUAACGAGCGCAACCCUUUUCAUCAGUUGCCAUCAGGUGAUGCUGGGCACUCUGUUGAUACUGCCACCGUAAGGUGUGAGGAAGGUGGGGAUGACGUCAAAUCAGCACGGCCCUUACGUCCGGGGCUACACACGUGUUACAAUGGGGCAUACAGAAGGCAGGAUCAUGGCAACAUGGUUCAAAUCUUUAAAAGUGCUCCUCAGUUCGGAUUGGGGUCUGCAACCCGACCCCAUGAAGCUGGAUUCGCUAGUAAUCGGGC
rnacentral:rRNA from 1 species